rnacentral:rRNA from 1 species
GUUGGCGGCGGGAGAGUAACGAGUAGAUUACGUACCCGAGGGUCCGGGAUAGCCGCGGGAAACCGCAGGUAAUACCGGAUAAUGUUUCCGAACCAAAGAUUUAUCGCCCUCGGAGCGGUCUGCUUACUAUUAGCUUGUUGGUGGGGUAAAGGCCCACCAAGGCAAAGAUGGUUAGCGGGUGUGAGAGCAUGGCCCGUCUCACUGGGACUGAGACACUGCCCAGACGUCUACGGACGGCUGCAGUCGAGAAUCUUCCGCAAUGGGCGAAAGCCUGACGGAGCGACGCCGCGUGCGGGAUGAAGGCCUUCGGGUUUGUAAACCGCUGUCAGAGGGGAGCAAAUUUUGAGCAAUCCUCAGAGGAAGCACAGGCUAAGUUCGUGCCAGCAGCCGCGGUAAUACGAACUGUGCGAACGUUAUUCCGGAAUCACUGGGCCUUAAAGGGUGCGUAGGCGGCUCUGUAAGUCAGGUGUGAAAUCCCACGGGCUCAACCGUGGAAUUGCGCCUGAAACUACAGAGCUUUGAGGAAGAUAGAGGGAGAGCGGAACUGAUGGGUGGGAGCGGGUGAAAUGCGUUGAUAUCAUCAGGAAACACCGGUGGGCGAAAGCGGCUCUCUGGAUCUUUUUCUGACGCUCANGCACGAAAGCUAGGGGAGCGAACGGGAUUAGAUACCCCGGUAGUCCUAGCUGUA